AAUUGUAAAAAGUGCGGAUAGAGUUUGUUUUUUAUUAAUAAAAACUGUGUCUAUUACUUUGUGACGCCAUAAGGGAUUGUUAGAGUGUCUUCUAGAAGUGCUAAGUGUCUACACAAAUAACUAAUUAGUGAUUUUCAUGAUGUAAGGAUCUAAGGAUAAUUAAGUAAAGGAGAUUUUCCUUCUUUGUUCCUCCAUUUUUGUCUUCCUUUUUAUCAUCAUCGCCUCGAAGCGCUCUCCUUCUCCUCUAGGUGCUUACUCACAGACUUACUGAGCAGGUCAAUAUAAACUUUACCGACGUACUUUCAUUCUACCUGUUCGAAUUUAUUCCAUUUUUAUUAAAUUUAUAUUAAACUAAAUACCUCUUUAUUGAAAUGGAAUCCAGUCCCACGGAUCGUCCUCCUGAAAAAAAUAUAAUAACUUAUGCUAGAGCGCUUAACAGAGAACAAAAAAUCAGUGAUGCUUCAAAAAAAAUUGUUCGCCUUGACGGAAGAUAGUCUAUUUUUCGGUUUCAAGGUUGGAUGAAAGAGCCGGCGCUCAAGCUCAGUACGGCUAUGGUUAUGCCUCUCUUUACACAAAUUAACCCAUAGAUCCUCCAAGGCUAAAAGAAUUAAAAAAGUAUAUACGACAGAAGUGGAGAAUCAAAACGAAAAUGUCAUUAAAAUAGUGAUGAGAAUUAAAGGAAUGGAGAACCUUGAAAUCAAUAAAAAGAAGAGAAUAAGAAUAAAGCCAAUUGAUACGUUUAAAAGGGUGGAUGAAAAUAAAUUAAAAGAAUGGAUCGGUAAAUUCUUUGAAAUAAUUUACUCCUAUCCUGAAACAAACCCUGAACAUCAAGACGCUGAAAUGAAAUUUAGAAAAUAUAAAUGAGUAUGGAGGACGUCGAACUAUAUAUUUGAAGUUCAUGCAGAUCCUUAUACUAUACCUCAAAUAAUGCCCGCUAAUAAUAACCUUGUCAAUCUAAGAUUUUCUGGCGUACACUUUAAGUGAAAACUGUUUCCAGUUUGGAUAUGCGCAGGUAAGUUGUCAGGAAAAAACAUCGCGGCUCCAAGAAUACGAAUCAGUAUUGAUUCAGAAAAUCAAAGAGUUCAAAGACCACAAAAUCCCGAACUAUGAACCUCAAGCCGGAAAAUCAUCCGGGACAAGCGAAGAUACAAAACAAACUAAUUAAGCAAAUAUUGUAGAGGAGAACUGUGGGUCAAAGAAACUUGAUAUAGUGGAUCGUGAAGAAGUGGAUGCUGGAAACUCGAAUUCUCUAAAUCCUGACAAAUAAAUCUGUGUUCCAGGUUCACAAGAAACUUAAGAAAAUGAGAAUGACGCAAACAAUCUGUUAGCAGAUAAUAUCUUCAGCUCACCCCUGUUACUUAAAAAGAUGAACGCCUUAGAAGUUCUUCGAUCAGGGAAACUUCUAAAAACGCUCUUACUACUAUAACAAAAAAAUAAAAUCCUGCCAUCUAGAUCAAUAUCUGCAUUUAACUCAUAAAGAACUAUAUCUAACUCCCAGUCUUCCCUGAGUACAAUGUAUCAGCCUCAUAAGCAACCCCGAAAAGAAUGGCAGUAUAUAUUCUUUCAGUUAACGUUAACUCGCUUCAAAACAUAAACCGAACAUAUGACAUAUGUUCGUAUUUGGUACUCAUAAUCUAUGUACUUUAUUAUAGCCUGUGUUCCAAAUUUAAGCCCCCUUCCCCCUUCUACCUACAUACACUAUAAUUAUAUAUAAACCUAAAAUAUAUAGAGAUGACAAAACUUUUUUUUACUUGAUGCCUUGGUUACUUAGGCAGGCAAAAAAUGAAUAUUCUGAUCUUAAAAAGUUUAGUGUAGUUGUUGUAUUUGGUGUCACUGUGGACACAUUUAGAACUGAAAUGUUAGUCAUAAAAAACGACGUUUAAAAAUUAGAAAAGGAAAAAGUGUAAUCACUUCUAGAUGGGAAUCUAGUGUAGUAAGACCUUUAAUCAUUGUCUAUUAGCCUUGAUUUGGUAUUCCUGUGUUUGCCUUUGGGAAUCCCUAAUCCUCCUUCGUAUGUUACUAGCGUGCCUUGUACAUUUUUGGGCCUUAUGAUUCAGUUUUAAAACAAUUUACACCAAAAAUAGCCGAUAAUGCUUACUUUAUAGGUGAAGUUAACACAACGACGACCUAUUAAAUAAUGAACAAAAAGAAACAGUACACGCAAAAACAUUUUUUCUUUUCUAAUUUUUAAACGCCGUUUUUCAUUACUAACAUUUCAGUUCUAAACGUGUCUACAAUGACACCAAAUACAACAACUAUACUACACUUUUUAAGAUCAGAAUUUCAUUUUUUGUCUGUUUAAGUAGCCAAGGCGUCAAGUUAAAAAAUUCUUGUCAUCUCUAUAUAUUUUAGGUUUAUACAUAAUUAUAGUGUAUGUAGGUAGGAGGGGAAAGGGGGGCUGAAAUUGCGAACACAUGCUAUAAUAAAGUACAUAGAUUAUGAGUACCAAAUACGAAUAUGCGGGUGUAUAAAAAAAAACAAAAAAAUAUCAAAAACAGCAUUACAUUUUUGUAAAAGUUGUACAUGACCUCUAUCUUGUAUAUAUUUACCUAUGCUUUUAAGACACAUUUAUGUAAGAUUGUAAAGGCCAUGUUCCUAACCACCAAAUUAAUCAUAAAAUAAAAAAUAUUACACAACUCAACGUGUUCCUUAUGUCGUUA
rnacentral:lncRNA from 1 species